ensembl:snRNA U2 U2 spliceosomal RNA
ACUGCUUCUACCCAAGAUCAAAGGUAGUAUCUGUGCUUAUUAGUGUAAUAUCUGACACAUCCUCUAGCUGAGGACAAGAUAAUAAGUGGGUUUUAGGAGCAGAAGAUAGUGUAAUCUUGCUUCAUCCACUAGGUGUGUGGGUCCAACACUGCAGUAACAACCAGAUAAACAGUG